UUCCAAGUCGGGUCAACUCUCGUUGAGUACAUCUUUGCUGAUGAGAGCGGAAACCUAGCACCUUUGUGUACCUUCAACGUCAACGUCAAUACUGUCGAUACCACCCCUCCAGAGGUACAAUCCUGCCCUUCCAACCAGACAUUCUCGGUUCUCAAAACCACCACACCAAUCACUUGGACACCACCAACAGCCAGUGAUGCGUCUGGAAUUGCAUUCAUCGU